UCUAUAAGAUAAAAUUAGCAAAUCGCAGAGAAACUAUGAAUUCAGAGUUGCUGGACUUGCCGACAAAUACCUAAAACAAUUUCAAGGAAAAGAUUAUUAGUGUAUUUAGGAAGGAUUACAAAAAAUUCUAAUUAGAAAUCUGAUGAUUGUCAAAUCCAUAAGAUAAAAAAGCAGAUGGUAAAGAGACCUUUAAUUUGAAGUCACUGUACUAGCUGGCAAAUAUCUAAAACAAUUUGAAGGAAAAGAUUAUCUGCAUAUUCAGGAUGGAUCACAAGAAAUUCUAAUUAGAAAUCUGAUAAUUGUCAGAUCUAUAAUAUAAACCUUCAUUUUGGAGAUACUGGACUCUCUACAAAGAGAGAGAGAUGGAGCCAUCAAUGUUGAAUUGGUAGAGUUUAUAGAAGCUACGCUCGGAGUAAUACUAGUCUUUUAUAUGAUAUGCCUAUGUUUGGUCCAUAUGCUAGUUUUUGAGCUUUCUAUGUUUAAGCCCCUCUCUCCAAGCAGAAACUGUUGGGCCAAGUGUAAAGUAACCCGGAUGGCGCCUGGAGGUCCUUCCCAUAAUGCAGAGGAAAUUGAGAGAGCAUGGAAUAUCUAAGAAAGCCCUAGAAGUAAUUAUUAAUAAAUUAGCCAUUUACUAGAAUUAUGGUUAUUUCAUAUUUUUCGACUCUUUGGUUGUUUACUACUUUACUAUAAUCAAUUUAUAACUUUAAUUA
rnacentral:lncRNA from 1 species